GAUGAACGCUGGCGGCGUGCCUAAUACAUGCCAGUCGAGCGAACGGACGAGAAGCUUGCUUCUCUGAUGUUAGCGGCGGACGGGUGAGUAACACGUGGAUAACCUACCCAUAAGACUGGGAUAACUUCGGGAAACCGUAGCUAAUACCGGAUAAUAUUUUGAACCGCAUGGUUCAAAAGUGAAAGACGGUCUUGCUGUCACUUAUAGAUGGAUCCGCGCUGCAUUAGCUAGUUGGUAAGGUAACGGCUUACCAAGGCAACGAUGCAUAGCCGACCUGAGAGGGUGAUCGGCCACACUGGAACUGAGACACGGUCCAGACUCCUACGGGAGGCAGCAGUAGGGAAUCUUCCGCAAUGGGCGAAAGCCUGACGGAGCAACGCCGCGUGAGUGAUGAAGGUCUUCGGAUCGUAAAACUCUGUUAUUAGGGAAGAACAUAUGUGUAAGUAACUGUGCACAUCUUGACGGUACCUAAUCAGAAAGCCACGGCUAACUACGUG
rnacentral:rRNA from 1 species